GGAGAGGUGGCAGAGUGGUCUAUUGCGGCGGUCUUGAAAACCGCUGACGGGAAACCGUCCGGGGGUUCGAAUCCCUCCCUCUCCGCCA
rnacentral:tRNA from 1 species